GAGAUAUUAGUAUAAAUGAGUAUGUCUUUUUUUCGCAAAGGUGGUUAUAUAUCUUA
rnacentral:tRNA from 1 species